rnacentral:rRNA from 1 species
AAAUUGAAGAGUUUGAUCAUGGCUCAGAUUGAACGCUGGCGGCAGGCCUAACACAUGCAAGUCGAACGGUAACAGGAAGCAGCUUGCUGCUUCGCUGACGAGUGGCGGACGGGUGAGUAAUGUCUGGGAAACUGCCUGAUGGAGGGGGAUAACUACUGGAAACGGUGGCUAAUACCGCAUAACGUCGCAAGACCAAAGAGGGGGACCUUCGGGCCUCUUGCCAUCAGAUGUGCCCAGAUGGGAUUAGCUUGUUGGUGAGGUAACGGCUCACCAAGGCGACGAUCCCUAGCUGGUCUGAGAGGAUGACCAGCCACACUGGAACUGAGACACGGUCCAGACUCCUACGGGAGGCAGCAGUGGGGAAUAUUGCACAAUGGGCGCAAGCCUGAUGCAGCCAUGCCGCGUGUAUGAAGAAGGCCUUCGGGUUGUAAAGUACUUUCAGCGGGGAGGAAGGUGUUGUGGUUAAUAACCACAGCAAUUGACGUUACUCGCAGAAGAAGCACCGGCUAACUCCGUGCCAGCAGCCGCGGUAAUACGGAGGGUGCAAGCGUUAAUCGGAAUUACUGGGCGUAAAGCGCACGCAGGCGGUCUGUCAAGUCGGAUGUGAAAUCCCCGGGCUCAACCUGGGAACUGCAUUCGAAACUGGCAGGCUUGAGUCUUGUAGAGGGGGGUAGAAUUCCAGGUGUAGCGGUGAAAUGCGUAGAGAUCUGGAGGAAUACCGGUGGCGAAGGCGGCCCCCUGGACAAAGACUGACGCUCAGGUGCGAAAGCGUGGGGAGCAAACAGGAUUAGAUACCCUGGUAGUCCACGCCGUAAACGAUGUCUACUUGGAGGUUGUGCCCUUGAGGCGUGGCUUCCGGAGCUAACGCGUUAAGUAGACCGCCUGGGGAGUACGGCCGCAAGGUUAAAACUCAAAUGAAUUGACGGGGGCCCGCACAAGCGGUGGAGCAUGUGGUUUAAUUCGAUGCAACGCGAAGAACCUUACCUGGUCUUGACAUCCACAGAACUUUCCAGAGAUGGACUGGUGCCUUCGGGAACUGUGAGACAGGUGCUGCAUGGCUGUCGUCAGCUCGUGUUGUGAAAUGUUGGGUUAAGUCCCGCAACGAGCGCAACCCUUAUCCUUUGUUGCCAGCGGUUAGGCCGGGAACUCAAAGGAGACUGCCAGUGAUAAACUGGAGGAAGGUGGGGAUGACGUCAAGUCAUCAUGGCCCUUACGACCAGGGCUACACACGUGCUACAAUGGCGCAUACAAAGAGAAGCGACCUCGCGAGAGCAAGCGGACCUCAUAAAGUGCGUCGUAGUCCGGAUUGGAGUCUGCAACUCGACUCCAUGAAGUCGGAAUCGCUAGUAAUCGUGGAUCAGAAUGCCACGGUGAAUACGUUCCCGGGCCUUGUACACACCGCCCGUCACACCAUGGGAGUGGGUUGCAAAAGAAGUAGGUAGCUUAACCUUCGGGAGGGCGCUUACCACUUUGUGAUUCAUGACUGGGGUGAAGUCGUAACAAGGUAACCGUAGGGGAACCUGCGGUUGGAUCACCUCCUUA